UGCUAUAAUGCAGUCGAGCGACAGAUAAGGAGCUUGCUCCUUUGACGUUAGCGGCGGACGGGUGAGUAACACGUGGAUAACCUACCUAUAAGACUGGGAUAACUUCGGGAAACCGGAGCUAAUACCGGAUAACAUAUUGAACCGCAUGGUUCAAUAGUGAAAGGCGGCUUUGCUGUCACUUAUAGAUGGAUCCGCGCCGUAUUAGCUAGUUGGUAAGGUAACGGCUUACCAAGGCAACGAUACGUAGCCGACCUGAGAGGGUGAUCGGCCACACUGGAACUGAGACACGGUCCAGACUCCUACGGGAGGCAGCAGUAGGGAAUCUUCCGCAAUGGGCGAAAGCCUGACGGAGCAACGCCGCGUGAGUGAUGAAGGUCUUCGGAUCGUAAAACUCUGUUAUCAGGGAAGAACAAAUGUGUAAGUAACUGUGCACAUCUUGACGGUACCUGAUCAGAAAGCCACGGCUAACUACGUGCCAGCAGCCGCGGUAAUACGUAGGUGGCAAGCGUUAUCCGGAAUUAUUGGGCGUAAAGCGCGCGUAGGCGGUUUUUUAAGUCUGAUGUGAAAGCCCACGGCUCAACCGUGGAGGGUCAUUGGAAACUGGAAAACUUGAGUGCAGAAGAGGAAAGUGGAAUUCCAUGUGUAGCGGUGAAAUGCGCAGAGAUAUGGAGGAACACCAGUGGCGAAGGCGACUUUCUGGUCUGUAACUGACGCUGAUGUGCGAAAGCGUGGGGAUCAAACAGGAUUAGAUACCCUGGUAGUCCACGCCGUAAACGAUGAGUGCUAAGUGUUAGGGGGUUUCCGCCCCUUAGUGCUGCAGCUAACGCAUUAAGCACUCCGCC
rnacentral:rRNA from 1 species